GUGUCCGUUUUGCGACGCUCAACAACCCGUGCGCUCACACAGACCCCCAUCCCCCACAGAGUGAGAGAGGCGCCGCAAUCAUGGCAUCCAGCUCCCCCACUUCUUCCUUGCCGUCGUUGGCCGCGCACUUCCCGGAGCGCACGGGUGGCCCGGCGUGGAGGCCGCAGGCCUCUGCGGAUACCACUUGGACGCUUCACGGCCUCCUCCUGACCGACCUCUGGGAAGAGCCGCUGCACACGCGCAGCCGCACGCGCGAUCGCCUCGGCUAUAUCGACUUUGGCAUGGUGAUACCACCCAUCCGUGCCUUCCUGUACUCAAUGCUUAUACCGUACGCCUGCUAUCCUAUUGCGCUGGUGCACCUUUAUGGGUUUUACCGCUGCACUCGGACAAUGGUGUUUCCCAAGUACUACAAGCGGCAGCGCUACUCUGAUCGCGUCAUGUACGGUGUUCAGAAGCGCGUGUACGACACGCGGCAGAAACGUAUUUUGGAGUCGCAAGUCGAUGACGUUCAGGAGAUUCAGCAUGCGCUGGAGGUGGUGGGCGCAGCACGUAACCAGUUCGUGGAUGACCCGCACCGCAAGGGCACGGCCUACUUCGUAGUGGAGCAGAAAAUCAUGAAGGCGGAGGCCAUCUUCACCGGUGAGAACUGGGCCUGGGCCUUUAUCUCGGACACCUGUCGCUACGUCACGCCAAUGCUCUUCGCAUAUCUGUUCCACCCGUCAUGCAAGCGCUUGACAGUGGAUUUGCGGCUGUGGAGGCAGGGCCGUCUACAUUGGCGGCAGGCGCGCCAUCCCGUUCUUAAUUUCUUCAAGACUUACAACGAGUACAAUCAGGCGAUGCGGCGCAUCAACGUUACGAAGCCUGCGCCGAAGGGUGCCCAGCCGUGGAGUCGCAAUCUCUGAGCUAGCUGCUGAGGCAUGGGCCGUUUCUUCGGCUUCAUGUUACGGCGCAUCUUGCAGGAAGCCCGCUACCGGUUUCUUUCCUCUUUGUCGCCUGUCCGCCUGUUCUCGAAAAAAUGCACGUGGCCCCUUCGAGCGUGUACCUGGCGCUCAUGCGCAGCGUGACGGCACGCGUGCACGCGUAAGCAUAUGCAUGUGCCGAUAUUGUCUUCGUUUUUGUGUUUGUGGACCAUGUAAAGACGUGUGCGCGCGUCUGCAGGUGUACGGAGGCGGGAGCCCAAGAAAGAAGAAGGACAAAACCAAGUAGAGGCUCGCCGGGCCCUGUCAACUACGCCAGACGCAAACACGCGCGCGCACGCCAACACAGUCAACGUCUUACCUGCGGCCAUCAUGAAGGCGGACAGCGCCGCUCGUGCGACCCCGCUGCACAGGUUCUCAUCUUAUCCAUUCGUGCGUACCUGCUCCCUCUUUUCUCUCCCCCUGAACGCACCCAUCCCUUCUCUUGCUUCGCUCUUCCACCCCGCGUGCCCUGUCGCCGAACUCUCAUCAUAAUUGUGCCGCGCCGGCCACCAUCGUCGCUGCACUGUGCUGUUGCGGUUGUGUUUCUCCUCUUGGCUUCGCACUGCGUACUGGAGGGAAG
rnacentral:misc_RNA from 1 species